GGGUCAGUAGGCUGGUCGUGCCACCGGUACGUACUGGUCUCACUGAUUCCUCCUUCCUGAAGAACCGUAAUGCCAUUAAUUUGGUGUUGCGGGGAAACAGGACUGUUACUUUGAAAAAAUUAGAGUGUUUAAAGCAAGCUAACGCUUGAAUACAUUAGCAUGGAAUAGUGAAAUAGGACGAUCGAUCCUAUUCUGUUGGUUUCUAGGAUUGACGUA
rnacentral:rRNA from 1 species